AGAGUUUGAUCAUGGCUCAGAAUCAACGCUGGCGGCGUGCCUAACACAUGCAAGUCGAACGCGAAAGUCCCGCAAGGGAUCAGUAGAGUGGCAAACGGGUGAGUAACACGUGGGUGACCUGCCUUCGAGUGGGGGAUAACGUCCCGAAAGGGACGCUAAUACCGCAUGACAUCCUGCUCUUGAACGAGUGGAGAUCAAAGCUGGGGAUCGCAAGACCUAGCGCUCAAAGAGGGGCCCGCGCCUGAUUAGCUAGUUGGUGGGGUAACGGCUCACCAAGGCAACGAUCAGUAUCCGGCCUGAGAGGGCGGACGGACACACUGGGACUGAGACACGGCCCAGACUCCUACGGGAGGCAGCAGUGGGGAAUUGUUCGCAAUGGGCGCAAGCCUGACGACGCAACGCCGCGUGGAGGAUGAAGAUCUUCGGGUCGUAAACUCCUUUCGAUCGAGACGAACGGCCUCCGGGUAAACAAUCCGGAGGAGUGACGGUACCGAGAGAAGAAGCCCCGGCUAACUCCGUGCCAGCAGCCGCGGUAAUACGGGGGGGGCAAGCGUUGUUCGGAAUUACUGGGCGUAAAGGGCUCGUAGGCGGCCAACUAAGUCAGACGUGAAAUCCCUCGGCUUAACCGGGGAACUGCGUCUGAUACUGGAUGGCUCGAGUGUGGGAGAGGGAUGCGGAAUUCCAGGUGUAGCGGUGAAAU
rnacentral:rRNA from 1 species